rnacentral:rRNA from 1 species
AUUGAACGCUGGCGGCAUGCCUUACACAUGCAAGUCGAACGGUAACAGGUCUUCGGAUGCUGACGAGUGGCGAACGGGUGAGUAAUACAUCGGAACGUGCCCGAUCGUGGGGGAUAACGAAGCGAAAGCUUUGCUAAUACCGCAUAAGAUCUAAGGAUGAAAGCAGGGGACCGCAAGGCCUUGCGCGAACGGAGCGGCCGAUGGCAGAUUAGGUAGUUGGUGGGAUAAAAGCUUACCAAGCCGACGAUCUGUAGCUGGUCUGAGAGGACGACCAGCCACACUGGGACUGAGACACGGCCCAGACUCCUACGGGAGGCAGCAGUGGGGAAUUUUGGACAAUGGGCGAAAGCCUGAUCCAGCCAUGCCGCGUGCAGGAUGAAGGCCUUCGGGUUGUAAACUGCUUUUGUACGGAACGAAAAGACUCUUUCCAAUAAAGAGGGUCCAUGACGGUACCGUAAGAAUAAGCACCGGCUAACUACGUGCCAGCAGCAGCCGCAG